CCAAACCGUGGAACAUUAAGUUCAGAGCUAACGCAAAUGGCCAUAAGCCAAACCUGCACCGUGUUAAAAUUGAUUAAAGUAAAAAUACAGAGAAUGAAAACAUGUUAUCUACAACCCAGGCCUGCAGGACCUACAGUAGUUCGCCAAGCUCUGGCAGCCUGUAAAGUAAGCUGUACCAGUGACCUGGGACUCAACCAGCAGGACCAGUUCGACGUGCAACUUCAGAGGGCAGGGACUUGGACACCAGGAGAGAUACCAUGAGUGAGCGUUGCUCAGUUCUCCUGUUGCUUCUCUACGUUGGCUGUGUUUCUCUCCUACUUGGAGGAACCAAGACUUCAAAUUUCACUCUCAUGAAUGUGCAUCAACCCCCUCCCAUUGAAGCUGAGAUCAGACAUCCAGUCAGGUUUACUUGUGAAUUCGACUAUGCAGGCGACUCCGAUAUUUCCGAAAUUAUUCACGCAAAAUGACCAUAUGAAGGAUUAUGAUACGAAUGUGAUGUGUCUUCAAAGUGUCUAUAAAAACACCAUGUCCUGCAAACUAAGGAUGCGAAUGUACACCACAAGUGUUUUUUUGCGAUUA